rnacentral:ncRNA from 1 species
UAUUACCUGUGAAGAUGCAGGUUACCCGCGACAGGACGGAAAGACCCCAUGGAGCUUUACUGUAGCUUGAUAUUGGAUUUUGGUACAAUUUGUACAGGAUAGGUAGGAGCCAGAGAACCCGGAGCGCCAGCUUCGGUGGAGGCGUCGGUGGGAUACUACCCUGAUUGUAUUGAAAUUCUAACCUAGGACCGUGAUCCGGUUCGGGGACAGUGUCAGGUGGGCAGUUUGACUGGGGCGGUCGCCUCCUAAACAGUAACGGAGGCGCCCAAAGGUUCCCUCAGAAUGGUUGGAAAUCAUUCGUAGAGUGCAAAGGCAAAAGGGAGCUUGACUGCGAGACCUACAAGUCGAGCAGGGACGAAAGUCGGGCUUAGUGAUCCGGUGGUUCCGCAUGGAAGGGCCAUCGCUCAACGGAUAAAAGCUACCCUGGGGAUAACAGGCUUAUCUCCCCCAAGAGUCCACAUCGACGGGGAGGUUUGGCACCUCGAUGUCGGCUCAUCGCAUCCUGGGGCUGAAGUAGGUCCCAAGGGUUGGGCUGUUCGCCCAUUAAAGCGGUACGCGAGCUGGGUUCAGAACGUCGUGAGACAGUUCGGUCCCUAUCCGUCGCGGGCGUAGGAAAUUUGAGAGGAGCUGUCCUUAGUACGAGAGGACCGGGAUGGACACACCGCUGGUGUACCAGUUGUUCCGCCAGGAGCAUAGCUGGGUAGCUACGUGUGGAAGGGAUAAGUGCUGAAAGCAUCUAAGCAUGAAGCCCCCCUCGAGAUGAGAUUUCCCUUGGAGUUAAUCCAGUAAGACCCCUUAAAGAUGAUGAGGUUGAUAGGUCUCGGGUGGAAGCCUUUACCUUUAGAGACAGGUAAAGAUUCAA